GUCCCGGGCAGCCGCUCAGCCCCCUGCCCCCCGCCGCCUGCUGGGCCGGGCCGAGGAUGCAGCGCAGCGCCUCGGUGGUGGCCAGGCUCGCUCCGCUCCAGCGUGCUUGCUAACUUCCCCGGCUCCGUCCCUGCCUGCCGGGGCCGCUCCGUGUCCCCGAGCCCUCCGGGUCUGGUUCUCUAAGCUCUCCGGGCGCUGCCUCCGGGUCCCUCGUAGCCCGCCCGCGAGCUCGCGCUCCCCCGCUGCGUCCCCAUCCUUGUCCUCACCAUGCUGCCCUUCGGCCUCGUGGCCGCCCUGCUGCUGGCCGCAGGGCCUCGGCCGAGCCUGGGCGACGAAGCCAUCCACUGCCCCCCUUGCUCCGAGGAGAAGCUGGCGCGCUGCCGACCCCCCGUGGGUUGCGAGGAGCUGGUGCGGGAGCCGGGCUGCGGUUGUUGCGCCACUUGCGCCCUGGGCUUGGGGAUGCCCUGCGGGGUGUACACCCCACGCUGUGGCUCAGGCAUGCGCUGCUACCCGCCCCGGGGGGUGGAGAAGCCCCUGCGCACUUUGAUGCACGGGCAAGGCGUGUGCACUGAGCUGUCGGAGAUCGAAGCCAUCCAGGAAAGCCUGCAGCCCUCUGACAAGGAUGAGAGCGAACAUCCCAACAACAGCUUCAACCCCUGCAGCGCCCACGAUCAUAGGUGCCUGCAGAAGCAUAUGGCCAAAAUGCGAGAUCGGAGCAAGAUGAAGGUCCUGGGGACACCCCGGGAGGAACCCCGGCCUGUGCCGCAGGGCUCCUGCCAGAGCGAGCUGCACCGGGCCCUGGAGAGACUGGCUGCCUCGCAGAGCCGCACCCACGAAGACCUCUUCAUCAUCCCCAUUCCCAACUGUGACCGCAAUGGCAACUUCCACCCCAAACAGUGUCACCCCGCCCUGGAUGGACAGCGCGGCAAGUGCUGGUGUGUGGAUCGGAAGACAGGAGUGAAGCUUCCAGGGGGCUUGGAACCCAAGGGGGAGCUGGACUGCCACCAGCUGGCUGACAGCUUCCAAGAGUGAGGCCUGCCCGCAGGUGGGGGACUCGGUGCCCCCUGCUAGGCCCCUGUGAUCUGGGGGGCUGUAGAGUUGACCUGGCAUGGAGUCUCGGUCUGAAGCCUGGCUCUUUGCCUCUGGCCCUGCCCAAAGUUUCCCUUGGUGUAGUUUGCGUGUGUUCAUGUGUUACGUGUGUGUGCGUAUGUACGUGCGUUUACGGGGUGUGUCCCACAGGGUAAACCUGAGCUUGGAGUGCCCGCUAUGGGCUUAGAUAGGCCAGGAGGUCUGAGUGUAGCAACAGGAAGCCCCAGUGUGUUCUUAAAUCAGUCUUGAAUUCAUUCAUUCAUUCAUUCAUUCAUUCAUUCUGCCAUCCAAAACCAUGUAUUGACAACAUACUUUGUGCCAGCUUUAGUGUUCAGCCCCGGGAGGACUCAUUCGGAUGUCCUCUGACUGCCGUGGUGUGAGGUGUUCCUAUAAGGCCCGUGGGAGAGGAAUGGAUGGGGUCAGAGGAAGGCCUGAAAGACGGGGGUCGGGGAGGUGGGCUUAUUGAGCAUGCAGGAGAGAAGAAAGAAGGCAAGAUUGGAUUUCGUGUGUCUGAUGGAGAAGAAGAGUCAUGUGCUGGGGGUGAGGAGCUGUGGAGGUCCUGUUCUGGUCCCCAGUUGUGACUGGUCAUAAAGUCACCAGGCUGACCCUCUUUCCAGUUGCCCUCUGGCUCUGUCCCCCUCCCCAUGUCCCCUCUCCCCUUUACACCUCCGGUCCUACCCUCUUUAUCCCCCUGGGCAUUUUCUGGCUUGCCUGGAUAGACUUAGAGACCUGCUUGUUGGCUGUGAUGUCUUUUCAUUCUUCUUCUUCUUUUUUUUUAAAAAAACAAAACAAAACAAAACAAAAAAAACAGAACAAAACCAAAAAGUGUCCAGGUGAUUGUGUUUGGUUGAUUUAUUUACAGUGAGAGGUAAGGAUGGAUCAGGGGUGGAGGGAGGUGGGCCUUGUAUGGCCCCAGACCUUUCUGAUUGGUGAGCGACUGCUACAAACCGGAAGCCCUCCCCUGGGGUUUCUCCCAAGGCAGUUCCACUGUCGCAUAGGAGGUGGGUCCUGUGGCUUUGGAGGCGUGGCCAAGGAAGCCGUCUGCGCCCACCGCGGGCUCCUGUAUCAGACUUCCUACUGAGGCUGUAGCAAUCCCUGAGGCACCAGGCUGCUGCCAUCAGCAGGAGGUCUCCAGGUCACCUCCCAACCCCCCAUCUAGAGAAUCGCAGCCAGGCUGAUGGAGCCUGUGAGUGGAAACUUCAAGGAACUGGCUCCCCAGGCCCUUACACAGUCUCUAAAGUGCAAACAACAUAUUUUCACCAUGCAAUGGUAUUUAAUUACACAUAAAAACAGAGCCAUUAAACUGAAAUUAAACCCUU